CAUCUCCGCCACGCUGAUUAUAGGUUAAGCUCAUUUCGUCUUGAAGGACAGAAUAGGGCUCUUCCUGUUCGCUCUCUCGCGUUAUGUAAUUGCAACCCUCAAAGAAAAUAUCGGAAGAAAGGCCAGACAGAGGUUUCCCAGAGACUAUGGGUUGAGGAGGAAUUGGAAGUUUGUCGGCUUAGACCUGGUAUCAUUCCAUCAGUGUUAAACUUCCCGGCUCAUCUUGGAAGAGUACGUGCCAGAAAGACCACGACCAAGCAGCCUUGAGAUCUUAGGCAGCGUCUCCCUGAGGUCCCUCUCUAUCUCCCCACACAUCCACCAACCACUGGAACACAUCUCCAAAGUUCUGCCGGGCCAGCUCAACUUCCCCUCAGAAGAAGUGCCGCCACCUGCCAGAUGAAGGAGCCUUUUGAGAGGCAGCUGGCAUCGUGAUUGGACUGUACUUUGGUCUGUUCCAAUCCAGCUUCAGCUCCAGAGAUGGCAGGCGGGACGAGUCAACGGAGGCCUGGUGGACGAAGGCAUGCAGCUGAGUACAAUACAGAAAACAACAGAGAAGGAGUGCAGUGGCCCAGGGCCAGAACAAACAGAGUAGCAUCAUAUGUCUCUUAGAAAACAUCAUAGUAUAGCCUUUGGUAUGAAAAAACGCCAUCAUAUACAUCG
ensembl:lncRNA